ACAUGUCCGCCAGAGAAUUACGGGCGAAAGCCUAAAACUCAAAAGACUUGACGGUGUUCCAACCCUGCCUAGAGGAGCCUGUUUCAUAAUCGAUAACCCCCGAUCAACCUCACCACCUAUUGAAACGCACAGCCUAUAUACCGCCGUCGCCCACGCUUACCCUCUGAAAGAUAUAAUAGUAAGCACAAUAGUUCAAAAACUAAUAAGUCAGGUCAAGGUGUAGCUUAUUAGGUGGAAGAAAUGGGCUACAUUUUCUACAACAGACAACUCACGGACUCCGCUCUGAAACCAAGCGAAUGAAGGAGGAUUUAGCAGUAAG
rnacentral:rRNA from 1 species